AUGCGCGGCUGUGAUGAGGCGAUUGAGCAGCAGCGGCCGCGGCUGCACCGGCGGCGGCAACUGCCGAGGCCGAGGGGCGACGACGCGGCCACGGCCGCUAGCGGAGAACAGAGGCAGCCUGCCGACCAUCAGGAACGGAAGCGGCUGGAGAAGGAUCGGCACCACCGGGGCAUCACCGCGAUCCCCGGCAGAGGCAGAGGCAGAGGCGGGCACUGGCGCCCGGCGCUGCACAGCAUCACAGAGUCGUCGUCCAGCGGGCACACCGACUGCGAGGAUACAUGUAAAUGA
rnacentral:rRNA from 1 species